rnacentral:rRNA from 1 species
GGGUGAGUAAAGUAUCGGAACGUACCAUUCAGUGGGGGAUAACGUAGCGAAAGUUACGCUAAUACCGCAUAUUCUGUGAGCAGGAAAGCAGGGGAUCGCAAGACCUUGCGCUGAUUGAGCGGCCGAUAUCAGAUUAGCUAGUUGGUGAGGUAAAAGCUCACCAAGGCGACGAUCUGUAGCGGGUCUGAGAGGAUGAUCCGCCACACUGGAACUGAGACACGGCCCAGACUCCUACGGGAGGCAGCAGUGGGGAAUUUUGGACAAUGGGGGCAACCCUGAUCCAGCCAUGCCGCGUGAGUGAAGAAGGCCUUCGGGUUGUAAAGCUCUUUCGGCCGGGAAAAAAUCGCAUGGGUUAAUACCUCGUGUGGAUGAUGGUACCGGAAUAAGAAGCACCGGCUAACUACGUGCCAGCAGCCGCGGUAAUACGUAGGGUGCGAGCGUUAAUCGGAAUUACUGGGCGUAAAGCGUGCGCAGGCGGUUUGAUAAGACAGGCGUGAAAUCCCCGGGCUCAACCUGGGAACUGCGUUUGUGACUGUCUCACUAGAGUACGGCAGAGGGGGGUGGAAUUCCACGUGUAGCAGUGAAAUGCGUAGAGAUGUGGAGGAACACCAAUGGCGAAGGCAGCCCCCUGGGUCGAUACUGACGCUCAUGCACGAAAGCGUGGGUAGCAAACAGGAUUAGAUACCCUGGUAGUCCACGCCCUAAACGAUGUCAACUAGGUGUUGGGUGGGUAAAACCAUUUAGUACCGUAGCUAACGCGAGAAGUUGACCGCCUGGGGAGUACGGCCGCAAGGUUAAAACUCAAAGGAAUUGACGGGGACCCGCACAAGCGGUGGAUGAUGUGGAUUAAUUCGAUGCAACGCGAAAAACCUUACCUACCCUUGACAUGUUCAGAAGGCCGAAGAGAUUUGGCUGUGCUCGAAAGAGAACUGAAACACAGGUGCUGCAUGGCUGUCGUCAGCUCGUGUCGUGAGAUGUUGGGUUAAGUCCCGCAACGAGCGCAACCCUUGUCGUUAAUUGCCAUCAUUCAGUUGGGCACUUUAACGAAACUGCCGGUGACAAACCGGAGGAAGGUGGGGAUGACGUCAAGUCCUCAUGGCCCUUAUGGGUAGGGCUUCACACGUCAUACAAUGGUCGGUACAAAGGGUUGCCAACCCGCGAGGGGGAGCUAAUCCCAGAAAGCCGACCGUAGUCCGGAUCGCAGGCUGCAACUCGCCUGCGUGAAGUCGGAAUCGCUAGUAAUCGUGGAUCAGCAUGUCACGGUGAAU